rnacentral:rRNA from 1 species
UGGGUGACCUGCCCCAUACCGGGGGAUAACAGCUGGAAACGGCUGCUAAUACCGCAUAAGCGCACAGAGCUGCAUGGCUCGGUGUGAAAAACUCCGGUGGUAUGGGAUGGGCCCGCGUCUGAUUAGGCAGUUGGCGGGGUAACGGCCCACCAAACCGACGAUCAGUAGCCGGCCUGAGAGGGCGACCGGCCACAUUGGGACUGAGACACGGCCCAAACUCCUACGGGAGGCAGCAGUGGGGAAUAUUGCACAAUGGGGGAAACCCUGAUGCAGCGACGCCGCGUGAGCGAAGAAGUAUUUCGGUAUGUAAAGCUCUAUCAGCAGGGAAGAUAAUGACGGUACCUGACUAAGAAGCCCCGGCUAACUACGUGCCAGCAGCCGCGGUAAUACGUAGGGGGCAAGCGUUAUCCGGAUUUACUGGGUGUAAAGGGAGCGUAGACGGCAAGGCAAGUCUGAUGUGAAAACCCAGGGCUUAACCCUGGGACUGCAUUGGAAACUGUCUGGCUCGAGUGCCGGAGAGGUAAGCGGAAUUCCUAGUGUAGCGGUGAAAUGCGUAGAUAUUAGGAAGAACACCAGUGGCGAAGGCGGCUUACUGGACGGUAACUGACGUUGAGGCUCGAAAG